GUCAGAAGCAGUUCUUCCUCAACAACUGGCACAUCUUCCUCCAGAACUGCCUCUCGCACCUAAAGAUGCCGUCUAACAACAGCAUCCGAAAGCAGAUUGAGACGCUGCAG